rnacentral:rRNA from 1 species
UACAGAGGGGGCAAGCGUUAUUCGGAAUUAUUGGGCGUAAAGGGCGCGUAGGCGGCCUGGCAAGUGGAAGGUGAAAUCCCUCGGCUUAACCGAGGAACUGCCUUCCAAACUGCUUGGCUUGAGUCCGGGAGAGGUGAGUGGAAUUCCCAGUGUAGCGGUGAAAUGCGUAGAUAUUCGGAGGAACACCAGUGGCGAAGGCGGCUCACUGGUCCGGUACUGACGCUGAGGUGCGAAAGCGUGGGGAGCAAACAGG